UCCCUGGUGGCCCAGUGGUUAGGACUGGGCUCUUUCACUGCUGAGGCCCAGGUGCAAUCUCUGGUCAGGGAA
rnacentral:tRNA from 1 species